rnacentral:lncRNA from 1 species
UCCUUUGCUCCCCUUUUUCUCCUCCAGCACAAUCCUAUCACCGCGUAGCAUCCUCAGGAUUCCUCCAUUAGCUACCGUCCUGUAGCCUUUCGAAUCCAGUCUGCUAAGUGAGAUAAGACUCCGCCUGAAAUCGGAUAUGUAUCGGACCUCCCCCAAUCUCAUCACUGCACCAUCAUGUGUCUUCCAGCUGACCGUCCCAAUGCC